rnacentral:lncRNA from 1 species
CUCUACUCCAUCCCCUUGUCCAUCCCUGAGACCACCCCCGCCGCCCUUGCGUCGACUUAGCAACCACCUCAUAGGCCCACCCACCUCGGGAUCCGAGCCAACCAUCCCACAUCACAAACUUUGGUUUGGGGGACUUUACGUUCGUUUAAUUUCUCAUUUUGUACGGAGAAAUAUUCUUUUCAAAAGCGUCUUUUGACUGAAGUAACUUUCCUGGUGCUGUUGUUAACUCGUUCCUUUUUUUAAUUUAUUCCCCCACCCCAGGCAGCCCUCCUGGUUCCUACUCACCCUCCCCCCCUCCCCCACCCUCCGUCCCAUCUGAACCAUUUGUUUCUUUUCUUUCCGUCAGAUUUUGGAAAAAUUCUCCUCUCCUCCCCGCCCCCUCCACACCAUCCUCCCCGAUUUAAAUAUAGUCACUGCUACAAGUAACAGAUGCACUGUGAAGAUUCCAGUAUUAAUAAAGGUGUACUGUAAUUAACACCCCUGCCUCUGCC